rnacentral:rRNA from 1 species
UACAGAGGGUGCAAGCGUUAAUCGGAAUUACUGGGCGUAAAGCGUGCGCAGGCGGUCUCGUAAGUCGGGUGUGAAAUCCCCGGGCUCAACCUGGGAAUUGCAUUCGAAACUGCGAGGCUAGGGUACGGAAGAGGGAAGCGGAAUUUCUGGUGUAGCGGUGAAAUGCGUAGAUAUCUGGAGGAACACCGGUGGCGAAGGCGGCAUCCUGGACCAAUACUGACGCUGAGGAGCGAAAGCCAGGGGAGCAAACGGG